AUUGAACGCUGGCGGCAUGCCUUACACAUGCAAGUCGAACGGCAGCACGGGAGCAAUCCUGGUGGCGAGUGGCGAACGGGUGAGUAAAGUAUCGGAACGUGCCCAGUCGUGGGGGAUAACGUAGCGAAAGUUACGCUAAUACCGCAUACGAUCUAUGGAUGAAAGCGGGGGAUCGCAAGGCCUCGCGCGAUUGGAGCGGCCGAUAUCAGAUUAGGUAGUUGGUGGGGUAAAGGCUAACCAAGCCGACGAUCUGUAGCUGGUCUGAGAGGACGACCAGCCACACUGGGACUGAGACACGGCCCAGACUCCUACGGGAGGCAGAAGUGGGGAAUUUUGGACAAUGGGCGCAAGCCUGAUCCAGCCAGGCCGCGUGCAGGAUGAAGGCCUUCGGGUUGUAAACUGCUUUUGUACGGAACGAAAAGGUUUGGCUUAAUACGUUGAACUCAUGACGGUACCGUAAGAAUAAGCACCGGCUAACUACGUGCCAGCCGCCGCCGUAA
rnacentral:rRNA from 1 species